UCGGGAAUUUUGGGCAAUGGGCGAAAGCCUGACCCAGCAACGCCGCGUGAAGGAUGAAGUAUUUCGGUAUGUAAACUUCGAAAGAAUAGGAAGAAUAAAUGACGGUACUAUUUAUAAGGUCCGGCUAACUACGUGCCAGCAGCCGCGGUAAUACGUAGGGACCAAGCGUUGUUCGGAUUUACUGGGCGUAAAGGGCGCGUAGGCGGCUUGACAAGUCACUUGUGAAAUCUCUGGGCUUAACCCAGAACGGCCAAGUGAAACUGUCAUGCUAGAGUGCAGAAGGGGCAAUCGGAAUUCUUGGUGUAGCGGUGAAAUGCGUAGAUAUCAAGAGGAACACCUGAGGCGAAGGCGGCUCACUGGCCAGUUUCUGACGCUAAAGUGCGAAAGCGUGGGGAUCAAACAGGAUUAGAUACCCACGUAGUCCCUGAGCGGGCUGGCAAGGCGCAU
rnacentral:rRNA from 1 species